AUACGAAGGGGGCAAGCGUUGUUCGGAAUAACUGGGCGUAAAGCGCACGUAGGCGGAAUGUUAAGUUAGAGGAGAAAUCCCAGGGCUCAACCCUGGAACUGCCUUUAGUACUGGCAAUCUAGAGACCGAGAGAGGUAAGUGGAAUUCCGAGUGUAGAGGUGAAAUUCGUAGAUAUUCGGAGGAACACCAGUGGCGAAGGCGGCUCACUGGUUCGGUACUGACGCUGAGGUGCGAAAGCGUGGGGAGCAAACAGGAUUAGAAACCCCAGUAGUCC
rnacentral:rRNA from 1 species